rnacentral:rRNA from 1 species
GGGUGCAAUCAUACCAGCGUUAAUGCACUAGAUCCCAUUAGAACUUCGCAGUUAGGCACGCUUGGCCUAGAGUAGUACUGGGAUGGGUGACCUCCUGGGAAGUCCUAGUGUUGCACCCU